GACGUAGGGCGCGAGCGUUGUCCGGAAUUAUUGGGCGUAAAGGGCUCGUAGGCGGUUUGUCGCGUCGGGAGUGAAAACUCAGGGCUUAACCCUGAGCCUGCUUCCGAUACGGGCAGACUAGAGGUAUGCAGGGGAGAACGGAAUUCCUGGUGUAGCGGUGAAAUGCGCAGAUAUCAGGAGGAACACCGGUGGCGAAGGCGGUUCUCUAGUACGGCACUGACGCUGAGACGCGAAAGCGUGGGGAGCGAACAGG
rnacentral:rRNA from 1 species